UUUCCGUAGGUGAACCUGCGGAGGGAUCAUUAUUGGAUUUUGAAACUUCAGGCUGCUGCUGGCUCUCCUCGGAGGGCAUGUGCACGGUUGUUGUCCAUUAUUCCUCCCCCUGUGCACAAAUUGUAGACCUUGCAUUAGUCCUAUGUUGUUUUUCACCAACUCUUAUUAUAAUAUUUUACAUUUGAAUUCUUGGUAAUGAAAUCCAACUUUCAGCAAGGGAUCUCUUGGUUCUC
rnacentral:misc_RNA from 1 species